ACACCUCAACUCUCAUGGUUUGCCAUGAUGAGCUUGGACUUUGGGGGUCUUGCUGGCCUUAUGGUCGGCUCCUCUUAAAUUAAUCAGCUUGCCAGUGUUUGGUGGCAUCACAGGUGUGAUAACUAUCUACGCUUGUGGUUUUCCAUCAGGUAACCUUCAGUGAUGGAGGUUUGCUGGGGCUCAUAAAGGUCUCUCCUCAGUGAGGACAGCUUUUUGAAC
rnacentral:misc_RNA from 1 species